GGGUUGUGAGGUUAAGCGACUAAGCGUACACGGUGGAUGCCCUGGCAGUCAGAGGCGAUGAAGGACGUGCUAAUCUGCGAUAAGCGUCGGUAAGGUGAUAUGAACCGUUAUAACCGGCGAUUUCCGAAUGGGGAAACCCAGUGUGAUUCGUCACACUAUCAUUAACUGAAUCCAUAGGUUAAUGAGGCGAACCGGGGGAACUGAAACAUCUAAGUACCCCGAGGAAAAGAAAUCAACCGAGAUUCCCCCAGUAGCGGCGAGCGAACGGGGAGCAGCCCAGAGCCUGAAUCAGUGUGUGUGUUAGUGGAAGCGUCUGGAAAGGCGUGCGAUACAGGGUGACAGCCCCGUACACAAAAAUGCACAUACUGUGAGCUCGAUGAGUAGGGCGGGACACGUGGUAUCCUGUCUGAAUAUGGGGGGACCAUCCUCCAAGGCUAAAUACUCCUGACUGACCGAUAGUGAACCAGUACCGUGAGGGAAAGGCGAAAAGAACCCCGGCGAGGGGAGUGAAAAAGAACCUGAAACCGUGUACGUACAAGCAGUGGGAGCACGCUUAGGCGUGUGACUGCGUACCUUUUGUAUAAUGGGUCAGCGACUUAUAUUCUGUAGCAAGGUUAACCGAAUAGGGGAGCCGAAGGGAAACCGAGUCUUAACUGGGCGUUAAGUUGCAGGGUAUAGACCCGAAACCCGGUGAUCUAGCCAUGGGCAGGUUGAAGGUUGGGUAACACUAACUGGAGGACCGAACCGACUAAUGUUGAAAAAUUAGCGGAUGACUUGUGGCUGGGGGUGAAAGGCCAAUCAAACCGGGAGAUAGCUGGUUCUCCCCGAAAGCUAUUUAGGUAGCGCCUCGUGAAUUCAUCUCCGGGGGUAGAGCACUGUUUCGGCAAGGGGGUCAUCCCGACUUACCAACCCGAUGCAAACUGCGAAUACCGGAGAAUGUUAUUACGGGAGACACACGGCGGGUGCUAACGUCCGUCGUGAAGAGGGAAACAACCCAGACCGCCAGCUAAGGUCCCAAAGUCAUGGUUAAGUGGGAAACGAUGUGGGAAGGCCCAGACAGCCAGGAUGUUGGCUUAGAAGCAGCCAUCAUUUAAAGAAAGCGUAAUAGCUCACUGGUCGAGUCGGCCUGCGCGGAAGAUGUAACGGGGCUAAACCAUGCACCGAAGCUGCGGCAGCGACGCUUAUGCGUUGUUGGGUAGGGGAGCGUUCUGUAAGCCUGUGAAGGUGUGCUGUGAGGUAUGCUGGAGGUAUCAGAAGUGCGAAUGCUGACAUAAGUAACGAUAAAGCGGGUGAAAAGCCCGCUCGCCGGAAGACCAAGGGUUCCUGUCCAACGUUAAUCGGGGCAGGGUGAGUCGACCCCUAAGGCGAGGCCGAAAGGCGUAGUCGAUGGGAAACAGGUUAAUAUUCCUGUACUUGGUGUUACUGCGAAGGGGGGACGGAGAAGGCUAUGUUGGCCGGGCGACGGUUGUCCCGGUUUAAGCGUGUAGGCUGGUUUUCCAGGCAAAUCCGGAAAAUCAAGGCCGAGGCGUGAUGACGAGGCACUACGGUGCUGAAGCAACAAAUGCCCUGCUUCCAGGAAAAGCCUCUAAGCAUCAGGUAACAUCAAAUCGUACCCCAAACCGACACAGGUGGUCAGGUAGAGAAUACCAAGGCGCUUGAGAGAACUCGGGUGAAGGAACUAGGCAAAAUGGUGCCGUAACUUCGGG
rnacentral:rRNA from 1 species